rnacentral:rRNA from 1 species
GCCGCUGGGAUCCCUUCGGGGUGACCUUGGCGCUGACGAGUGGCGGACGGGUGAGUAAUGCGUAGGAAUCUGCCCUUAAGUGGGGGAUAGCCCGGAGAAAUCCGGAUUAAUACCGCAUGUGCUCUACGGAGCAAAGCGGGCCUCUGUUUCAAGCUCGCGCUUGAGGAUGAGCCUACGUCGGAUUAGCUUGUUGGUGGGGUAAAGGCCUACCAAGGCGACGAUCCGUAGCUGGUCUGAGAGGAUGAUCAGCCACACCGGAACUGAGACACGGUCCGGACUCCUACGGGAGGCAGCAGUGGGGAAUAUUGGACAAUGGGCGAAAGCCUGAUCCAGCAAUGCCGCGCGUGUGAAGAAGGCCUGCGGGUUGUAAAGCACUUUUAUCGGGAAAGAAACAGCUAGGGGCUAAUACCCUCUAGCCUUGACGGUACCCGUUGAAUAAGCACCGGCUAACUCCGUGCCAGCAGCCGCGGUAAUACGGAGGGUGCAAGCGUUAAUCGGAAUUACUGGGCGUAAAGCGAGUGUAGGCGGCUGCGUGAGUCGGAUGUGAAAGCCCUGGGCUUAACCUGGGAAUGGCAUUCGAUACUGCGCGGCUAGAGUCUGAUAGAGGGAAGUGGAAUUCCAGGUGUAGCGGUGAAAUGCGUAGAUAUCUGGAAGAACACCAGUGGCGAA